rnacentral:sRNA from 1 species
UGUAAUACUAAUAGCUGUACCAUCGC